rnacentral:rRNA from 1 species
AGUGAACGCUGGCGGUAGGCCUAACACAUGCAAGUCGAACGGCAGCACAGUAAGAGCUUGCUCUUAUGGGUGGCGAGUGGCGGACGGGUGAGGAAUAUAUCGGAAUCUACUUUUUCGUGGGGGUUAACGAAGGGAAACUUACGCUAAUACCGCAUACGACCUACGGGUGAAAGCAGGGGAUCUUCGGACCUUGCGCGACUGAACGAGCCGAUGUCGGAUUAGCUAGUUGGCGGGGUAAAGGCCCACGAAGGCGACGAUCCGUAGCUGGUCUGAGAGGAUGGUCGCCCACACUAGAACUGGACCGCCGUCACGCCUACUGCGGGAGGCAGCAGUGUGGAAUGUUAGGCAAUGGGCGCAAGCCUGAUCCAGCCAUACCACGUGGGUGACGACAGCCUUCGGGUUGUAAAGCCGUUUUGUUGGGAGAAAACAGCAGCAGGUUAAUACGACGCUGUUCUGACGGUAACGAAAGAAUAAGCACCGGCUAACUUCGUG